rnacentral:lncRNA from 1 species
UAACAACGAGAAGAAAGCCAUAGACAUAAAACAACGCGUACCUAGAGCCGAAGGCUUACAAUACCCAUGGAAGAGAAACACCGUCUCGUCCAUCAGGGACAAAUCUACAUUCAAGCGAGGUUAAAAGGUUGUGCAGAGCUUUACUCCCCCAAACAAUAUUCAUGAACAGAUCUGGCGGGAGGCUUUCCACUUGCAUGAUAUUCGUGCAUAUCUUGGAACACCCCAUUUUUUCUAAUUUU